AGCGGAGCGGCCGCGAUGAGGCUGCUGCUGCUGGCGUGCCUGCGGGCACAGACCGGCAACGCCACCACGGCCGCCAGGAUCCGGAAUCAUCUACAGGCUGCAGGCCACAUCUGUGUUCUCAAAGAUGCUUUCAUGUAUGGAAGUGCAGCUGAAAUAGCAAACCUGACCUCCUCAGACAAGUUUGAUGCAGCCCUGGCCAUUCACCUCUAUAAAGGAGGCAGACUGCUGCAAGGGAGCAGAAUUCCCUUUGGGAUCAUCUUUGGAGGGACAGAUGUCAAUGAAGACGUGAAGUGCAAAGAGAAGCGCCAGGUGAUGGGAGCAGUGCUGGAGAGAGCCAGGUUUGCGGUGGCUUUCACGGUGGAAAUGAAGGAGCUGGCAGCAGCAGAGUGGCCAGAUGCUCGGAAGAAAAUUUAUGUCCAAAGCCAAGGAAUCAAGGCUACACCCAGUGAAACAUUUGACUGGUACCAAUUUCUACAAAAUGCAGGCAUCCCUGCAGACUCAGGCCCUGUGCAUCUGUUCCUCCUGGUGUGUGGGCUGCGCAGAGUGAAGGACCCUCUGUACCUGGUGGAAGCUUUCUCAGAGUGGCACAGAAAGGAUCCCAGUGUCCAUCUGGGCAUUAUUGGACCUGCAGUUGAUCCACUGUUUACCAGUGAAGUUGAGGAGAGAGUUAAAAGGGCCCCCGGGGUGCGCGUGCUGCAGGAGCUGCCCCAGCCCGAGCUGCACGCCGCCCUGCGCUGCUGCCUGGCCCUGGUGAACAGCUCCAGCUCCGAGGGCAUGUCUGCUGCCAUCCUGGAGGCAAUGGAUUUAGAGGUUCCAGUGCUGGCCAGGAACAUUCCCGGGAAUGCAGCAAUAAUAAAGCACAAGGAAACGGGGCUGCUGUUCUCCACUCCCCAGGAGUUUGUUGCGCUGUCCAAGAGUUUAAUGAAUGACCCCACUCUGGAAAAGGAAAUUGUGACCAGGGCCAAAGAGUACGUGGAGCAGCAUCACUCCUGGGAAGGGGAGAGGAAAACCUACCAGAGCCUUGUGCAGAGACUGCAGUGACCGGCAGGGCCAGCAGAGCCCUUGAGUGGUGGCAACGUGAUGGGGUUGGGGUUCCUUGGGUUCCUUCUGAAAAACAGCCAGAAAUUGUUCAAUAGAGUAACAGCCCAGAGCCGAGCUGCUGCAGGGCCAGGCUGAGCCAGGGCAGCCCUGGGCAGUGCCAGGGCAUUGCUGCUCUGAGCCCUCCCAGGGCAGUGCCAGGGCAUUGCUGCUCUGAUCCCAGGGCAGUGCCAGGGCAUUGCUGCUGUGAUCCCAGGGCAGUGCCAGGGCAUUGCUGCUCUGAGCCCUCCCAGGGCAGUGCCAGGGCAUUGCUGCUGUGAUCCCAGGGCAGUGCCAGGGCAUUGCUGCUCUGAGCCAGGGCAGUGCCAGGGCAUUGCUGCUCUGAGCCCUCCCAGGGCAGUGCCAGGGCAUUGCUGCUCUGAACCCUCCCAGGGCAGUGCCAGGGCAUUGCUGCUCUGAGCCCUCCCAGGGCAGUGCCAGGGCAUUGCUGCUCUGAGCCCUCCCUGGGCAGUGCCAGGGCAUUGCUGCUCUGAGCCCUCCCAGGGCAGUGCCAGGGCAUUGCUGCUCUGAUCCCAGGGCAGUGCCAGGGCAUUGCUGCUGUGAGCCCUCCCUGGGCAGUGCCAGGGCAUUGCUGCUCUGAUCCCAGGGCAUGCCAGGGCAUUGCUGCUCUGAGCCCAGGGCAGUGCCAGGGCAUUGCUGCUGUGAUCCCUCCCUGGGCAGUGCCAGGGCAUUGCUGCUCUGAGCCCUCCCUGGGCAUUGCCAGGGCAUUGCUGCUGUGAUCCCAGGGCAGUGCCAGGGCAUUGCUGCUCUGAGCCCUCCCAGGGCAGUGCCAGGGCAUUGCUGCUGUGAUCCCAGGGCAGUGCCAGGGCAUUGCUGCUCUGAGCCCUCCCUGGGCAGUGCCAGGGCAUUGCUGCUGUGAUCCCAGGGCACUCCUGGCACACAGAGUCCCAGGGAAUGCUCUGCCCAUGCUCCCUCCCACCCUGCAGCACUGCCAGCCCCUGCCCACAGCCAGGGGCACUCACACACCUGCUGAGGCCCGGCUGCACGAGCAGAGGAUGAACUAUGGACACACAGCU